rnacentral:rRNA from 1 species
CUACGGGGGGCUCCAGUAGGGAAUCUUAGACAAUGGGCGCAAGCCUGAUCUAGCCAUGCCGCGUGAGUGAUGAAGGCCUUAGGGUCGUAAAGCUCUUUCGCUGGGGAAGAUAAUGACGGUACCCAGUAAAGAAACCCCGGCUAACUCCGUGCCAGCAGCCGCGGUAAUACGGAGGGGGUUAGCGUUGUUCGGAAUUACUGGGCGUAAAGCGCGCGUAGGCGGACUGUUAAGUCGGGGGUGAAAUCCCGGGGCUCAACCCCGGAACGGCCUUCGAUACUGGCAGUCUGGAGUUCGAGAGAGGUGAGUGGAAUUCCGAGUGUAGAGGUGAAAUUCGUAGAUAUUCGGAGGAACACCAGUGGCGAAGGCGGCUCACUGGCUCGAUACUGACGCUGAGGUGCGAAAGUGUGGGGAGCAAACAGGAUUAGAUACCCUAGUAGUC